rnacentral:rRNA from 1 species
AGAGUUUGAUCAGUGCUCAGGACGAACGCUGGCGGCGUGCCUAACACAUGCAAGUCGAGCGGAGUCAGUAAGAGGAAGUUUCGGAUGGAAUCUUAUUGAUUUAGCGGCGGACGGGUGAGUAACGCGUGAGCGACCAACCUUGCACAGGGGGAUAACGGACCGAAAGGUUCACUAAUACCGCAUGAGACCACGGUGUUGCAUGACACGAGGGGUCAAAGGAGCAAUCCGGUGCAAGACGGGCUCGCGUCCGAUUAGGUAGUUGGAGGGGUAACGGCCCACCAAGCCUAUGAUCGGUAGCCGACCUGAGAGGGUGAUCGGCCACAUUGGAACUGAGAUACGGUCCAAACUCCUACGGGAGGCAGCAGUGGGGAAUAUUGGGCAAUUGGGGGGAAACCCUGACCCAGCAACGCCGCGUGAAGGAAGAAGGUUUUCGGAUUGUAAACUUCUGUCCUUGGUGAAGAGAAGAAGACGGUAGCCAAGGAGGAAGCCCCGGCUAACUACGUGCCAGCCGCCGC